UUAACUGGAUAAUGAACUUUCUGAACAAUAGAAGUAUCCAAGUUAAAAUAGGCCGGGACAUAUCUAGAAGAUGUGUGGUGGAGAAUGGGACCCCCCAGGGGAGCGUGAUAAGCCCGCUGCUAUUUAACAUAAUGAUAAAUGACGUUUUUCUGAAUGUCCAGCCGGGGAUUGGCAGGUCGUUAUUUGCCGACGAUGGGAGUUUAUGGAAGAGGGGAAAGAAUGUGACAUUUAUAGUGAGGAAAAUGCAGGAAGCUGUGGCACAAGUGGAGGAGUGGGGAAGGAAGUGGGGCUUCAGAUUCUCUGUGGAGAAAACAAAAGCUAUGUUCUUCACUAGAAAGAAAAUUGAUGAGAAUGUGAAGCUGUUGCUGUAUGGUAAUAGCUUGGAGAGGGUUAAGAGCUUUAAAUUUCUGGGUGUGUUUUUUGACACGAGGCUCACAUGGAGGGACCAUACACGCAAAGUCAUAGACAAGUGCAAAAAAGUGCUGAAUAUGAUGAGGUGCUUAGCUGGAUUAGAGUGGGGAGCAGAUAAAGCAUCACUAAGGCAGAUCUAUGUGUACCUGAUAAGAUCAAGGAUGGAGUAUGGAAGCUUGGUGUAUGGGUCUGCCUCCAAGUCUGUGCUGGCUGGGCUGGAUGUAAUCCAAGCUAAAGCGCUGAGGAUAUGCACAGGAGCAAUAAAAUCAUCUCCGGUGUGCUCCUUGCAAGUUGAGAUGGGGGAAAUGCCUUUGUACCUGCGGAGAAAACAACUUCAGGCUAAUUACUGGGUGAACCUGAUGGGUCAAAGGGAAGAUCAUCCGGUCAGAGUGGCUAUGCAGGCAACAUGGGAGAGAGGACUGAGGGGGGGGUCUAGUUUUGGAUGGACGGGGGAGAGGGUGGCUCGGGAAGUUUUAAUUCAUGAUAAAGAGUUCUGUCCUGUGGUGUUGUGGCCUGUGGUACCUGUAUGGGAGCUUCAGGUCCCAAUGACUGACCUGAGACUACUGGAAAUGAGAGAACAGAAUAAGGGAGCAGAAUUGGUCAGUGAGUUUCACUGUCAUGUAGCCGAGAGGUACAAUAGUCAUGUAUUGGUUUUCACAGAUGGGUCUAAAAACCAAGAGACAGGUACUACGGGUGCAGCCUUUACUGUGCUCAGGCAGAAUGUUGACUCUUAUGUGAGAACUUCUGAUUUUUUAAAUGUACAUACUGUUGAGUUGUAUGCAAUUUUAAUGGCAGUGAGAUGGGCAGAACAGCUGAUGAACUGUGGAGUGCUGAUUUGUUGUGACUCCGUGUCUGCGGUGAAGAGUGUUGGGAUGGGGAUGUCCAAGGGGCGGAACGACCUGGUAUAUGAGAUACUGAUGGCAAACCAGAUGGUGAGAAGGAGGGGUGUUGAAGUGGUGCUGAUGUGGGUUCCAGCACACUCAGGCAUUCGGGGCAAUGAAGAAGCAGACGUGUUGGCUAAGAGAGCAGUGAAAAAGGAGAGGGUGGAUGCCAACUUAAGCCUGUCUAAGGGUGAAGGGAAGAGCAUAGUGUGGAAACAAAUCAUCGUGGAGUGGCAGAAGGAGUGGGAGGAAGGAAAUAAAGGAAGGCAUUUGUUUUCAGUAAUGGGGAAAGUGACAGAUUCAGUGAACACCGGAGGAAGAGGGAGGAGAAAGGAAGAGGUCAUUUUCUCCAGGUUAAGGAUUGGGCAUACUGCUCUUAAUAGCACGCUGCACGUCAUGGGAAAACAUCAAAAUGGACUAUGCUCCGAGUGUCAAGCACCUGAGACAGUACAAGUACAACAUGUGCUUAUUUGCUGCAGGAGAUACCACAGGGAAAGAGCUGAGCUAGUGGCAGAGCUGCAAGAAGUGGGUGUGAAAGAAGUUACAGUUAGAAGUAUUUUGGAAGGGGGAUCAAGUGGAAGAGGGAGGCGGAGUUUGUUUAAAUUUUUAAAUAAUACUGGUCUGAUGAGGAGAAUAUGAGUUCCUGAAAGAUCCAGAAGAUGGCAGCAAUGCAACUAACUGGAUGCAAGCUGCCGUUAAACCCCAAAGAAGAAGAAGAAGAAGAAGACGCAGCUUCUGCGCAUGUUCAUCACAACAUAGCAUUAGCACAUGCUAUUACAAUUUUUAUCCUUUUUUCAUUCUUGUUGGAAUUGCUGAGUCUGUUAAUCUAAAAUGCCACCAAAAGGUAAAGGUGGCAAAGGCGGGAAAGGUUAGUUUCUUGAGCUGCGUCAGGUGGUGCUGAAGCUGACAAGAAAGAAAAAACAGCAAAAGGAGGCACUUCAGUGAAGGUUCGACAUAUCCUCUGUGAAAAACAUGGAAAAUGUAUGGAGGCAAUGGAGAAGCUGAAGGCUG